UACGAAGGGGGCUAGCGUUGUUCGGAAUUACUGGGCGUAAAGCGCGCGCAGGCGGUUCUCCAAGUCAGUGGUGAAAGCCCGGAGCUCAACUCCGGAACUGCCAUUGAAACUGUUGAACUUGAGGACGAGAGAGGUGAGUGGAAUUCCCAGUGUAGAGGUGAAAUUCGUAGAUAUGGGAAGAAACACCAGUGGCGAAGGCGGCUCACUGGCUCGUAUCUGACGCUCAGG
rnacentral:rRNA from 1 species